CUCUGUGUAGUGGCCUUCAGUGGCCACCUGAGUUUAGUCUCUGUAACAGAAGGAACACUCAUUAGAUCACAUCGGAACAAAUAAGUCCAAACUAACUCAAAAAGAAGAUAUUCACUUUGAUCUAUGCUGUGACUAAUACUAUCUGCUCUGCGCAAUGCCGCUGCAUGGAUAGCUUCGUGCUGUGGCUCCUCAAUGAAGGACAGGGCAGCUGGAGGACGACUGUACCAGUGUAAAGGGCAGAAAGUGUGGACUGUCUCUGGUGAUGAAACAACAUCCAGUCAAAAUCCUCCCUAAUUCUUCUGGACGGAAGAGAUGUCCACCUUUCCACAUUCUUAAUUAUUAUAUUAAGUUCAAUAACUUUCAGUGAGUCGAUCUGUGCUGCUCUGUAAUUGUUAUAAUGAUGACUUGUCUGAAAACUCCUUGUCUGGAAGUUGGACAAUGUCUGAUUGUGGACAAAUGCAGCAGUGACUCAGAAGAGGCUUACAUCUCAUGUUCACCGAUCAUUUAUAUGGUAUGAAUGCAAUUUGAUCGGCACCUGUUUAUUUAAAGAAUUCCAUAAAUGCCUAUUAAGAUCA